rnacentral:rRNA from 1 species
UACAGAGGUCUCAAGCGUUGUUCGGAUUCAUUGGGCGUAAAGGGUGCGUAGGCGGCGCGGUAAGUCGGGUGUGAAAUCUCGGAGCUUAACUCCGAAACUGCAUUCGAUACUGCCGUGCUUGAGGACUGGAGAGGAGACUGGAAUUUACGGUGUAGCGGUGAAAUGCGUAGGUAUCGUAAGGAAGACCAGUGGCGAAGGCGGGUCUCUGGACAGUUCCUGACGCUGAGGCACGAAGGCCAGGGGAGCAAACGGG